CUUCACAGAAUGUAAUACAGGCAUUUGAGGGGAAGAAGCAUUUUCUCAGUCUGACGUACAUCAAAAUUCAAAGCAAAGACUGGCAGAAGGAAAAGCAAGCUGGAACACUGUGGAUUUCCCUGGCAAUGGGAAGAAUGCUAUUGUUCACCCAAUAUCCCAGCAACAUGAUGAUAUCUUUCCGUCUGUGAGUUUGAGAGCAGCUAGGAAAUGGAACUUUUGGGUUAAUACCCCCCAGGUGUGAGAACUGGCUUUAAGUUUCAACUCACUGGAAACCUCCCUUUCCUGAGCAGAGCUGAAGGUUUCUGGCAGGCAUUUCCUCCAGUGUCUCCUGGUCGCAGAGCUGCUGCUAGAAUGCUCACAUGGAGAACAGCAGAGCCUAAUAAAUCUUGCUGCUGAAAGAGA